rnacentral:rRNA from 1 species
CCCUUAGAUGUUCUGGGCCGCACGCGUGCUACACUGACCGGCGCAACAAGCUUUUUUCCUUGGCUCGACAGGCCUGGGUAAUCUUCGAACGCCGGUCGUGAUGGGGAUAGAUCCUUGCAAUUUUUGAUCUUCAACGAGGAAUUCCUAGUAGUGGUGGUUCAUCAGACCAUCGCGAUUACGUCCCUGCCCUUUGUACACACCGCCCGUCGCUCCUACCGAUUGAACCGAAACGUGAGUGUUUUGGAUCGGAAUUCGCUGGGGAAACUCGGUCGUUUUCUGAGAAAUCAAGCAAACGUUUCUGUUUAGAGGAAGGAGAAGUCGUAACA